rnacentral:misc_RNA from 1 species
GUAACAAGGUCUCCGUUGGUGAACCAGCGGAGGGAUCAUUACCGAGUUUACAACUCCCAAACCCAAUGUGAACGUUACCAAACUGUUGCCUCGGCGGGGUCACGCCCCGGGUGCGUAAAAGCCCCGGAACCAGGCGCCCGCCGGAGGAACCAACCAAACUCUUUCUGUAGUCCCCUCGCGGACGUAUUUCUUACAGCUCUGAGCAAAAAUUCAAAAUGAAUCAAAACUUUCAACAACGGAUCUCUUGGUUCUGGCAUCGAUGAAGAACGCAGCGAAAUGCGAUAAGUAAUGUGAAUUGCAGAAUUCAGUGAAUCAUCGAAUCUUUGAACGCACAUUGCGCCCGCCAGUAUUCUGGCGGGCAUGCCUGUCCGAGCGUCAUUUCAACCCUCGAACCCCUCCGGGGGAUCGGCGUUGGGGAUCGGGACCCCUCACCGGGUGCCGGCCCUGAAAUACAGUGGCGGUCUCGCCGCAGCCUCUCCUGCGCAGUAGUUUGCACAACUCGCACCGGGAGCGCGGCGCGUCCACGUCCGUAAAACACCCAACUUCUGAAAUGUUGACCUCGGAUCAGGUAGGAAUACCCGCUGAACUUAAGCAUAUC